UGCAAAUCACUAAAUCCACGUUGUAAACCACCAAGCAGAUAGCUGGCUGUCAUUGCUCAGACGGUGUGCACCAGGGUAAACAUGACAGAGGACACAGACUUUCCUUUAGGUGACAGCUGAUAUCCUUGGUCUGCAGAUGGAUGUAGGUCCUACCGUUACCUUCUCACCAUGUUACGUAUGUCACUGCCCAUGUUAUCCGCUGGAGGAGAUAUCAUUGAUCUCACAUCCCCCAAAUGUCUCAGAACCUCUUUGAUCUGGAAUGAAGCAGAGAUGAACAGAGAAACGUGGAAUUGUUCUAUGAGAACUGAAGUCUGGACUCUGGACAGCUGGGUCUGUACAGUCCUGGAGGGUCAUUUCUUCUCUUCUUGGCAGAUUAUUAAACCGCUGAUUCAGCAGGUCGGGGGUGGCCGGGUAGGGACAGGCUGACCCGGUGGCUGCUCCUGGAGCACUCCUUCUUGCUCAGGCCACUUUCUCAGACGGAGAACUUCUAGUUUCACGUGUUUGCAUGACUCUUCCCUGUUUGUGGACCCCAUAAUGUGAAUCAUUGUAAAAGUGGGGACUUAUAAACUGGAAAGUCGGCU